AUUGAACGCUGGCGGCAUGCUUUACACAUGCGAGUCGAACGGCAGCGCGGGCUUCGGCCUGGCGGCGAGUGGCGAACGGGUGAGUAAUGCAUCGGAGCGUGCCCAGUAGUGGGGGAUAGCCCGGCGAAAGCCGGAUUAAUACCGCAUACGACCUGAGGGUGAAAGCGGGGGACCGAAAGGCCUCGCGCUAUUGGAGCGGCCGAUGUCGGAUUAGCUAGUUGGUGGGGUAAAGGCUUACCAAGGCGACGAUCCGUAGCUGGUCUGAGAGGACGACCAGCCACACUGGGACUGAGACACGGCCCAGACUCCUACGGGAGGCAGCAGUGGGGAAUUUUGGACAAUGGGGGCAACCCUGAUCCAGCCAUGCCGCGUGCGGGAAGAAGGCCUUCGGGUUGUAAACCGCUUUUGUUCGGGAAGAAAUCCUCUGGGCUAAUACCCCGGGGGGAUGACGGUACCGGAAGAAUAAGCACCGGCUAACUACGUG
rnacentral:rRNA from 1 species